AUUUUUAAAAAUGGUAAAUAAAUUUGGAACGUUACAGAGAAGAUUAGUAUGGCCCCUCUCACAGAGAUGACACGCAGAAUCGUCAAGCGUUUUCCAAAUUUUU